rnacentral:rRNA from 1 species
AUUGAACGCUGGCGGCAGGCUUAACACAUGCAAGUCGAGCGGGGGAAGGUAGCUUGCUACCGGACCUAGCGGCGGACGGGUGAGUAAUGCUUAGGAAUCUGCCUAUGAGGGGGGGACAACAUCUCGAAAGGGAUGCUAAUACCGCAUACGUCCUACGAGAGAAGGCAGGGGAUCUUCGGACCUUGCGCUAAUAGAUGAGCCUAAGUCGGAUUAGCUAGUUGGUGGGGUAAAGGCCUACCAAGGCGACGAUCUGUAGCGGGUCUGAGAGGAUGAUCCGCCACACUGGGACUGAGACACGGCCCAGACUCCUACGGGAGGCAGCAGUGGGGAAUAUUGGACAAUGGGGGGAACCCUGAUCCAGCCAUGCCGCGUGUGUGAAGAAGGCCUUAUGGUUGUAAAGCACUUUAAGCGAGGAGGAGGCUACUCUAGUUAAUACCUAGGGAUAGUGGACGUUACUCGCAGAAUAAGCACCGGCUAACUCUGUGCCAGCCGCCGCAGUAA